rnacentral:rRNA from 1 species
CGGGUGAGUAACGCGUAAGUAAUCUACCUUUGAGCCUGGAAUAACCACGUGAAAACGGGGCUAAUACCAGAUAAGCUCACAGCAGGGUAAUCUGCCGUGGGAAAAGAAUGCCUCUGACUCAAGCAUUCACUUAAAGAUGAGCUUGCGUACCAUUAGCUUGUUGGUGGGGUAACGGCCUACCAAGGCGACGAUGGUUAGCUGGUCUGAGAGGACGAUCAGCCACACUGGAACUGAGACACGGUCCAGACUCC